CCAGCACCCAGCUCACAAAGACCUCUUCCGUGACCUUCCAUCCAGCUGGGCUGGCCUACGCACAGGGGAAAAAAAAGCUCUAGACAGAGUACCAAGGCGAGGCCCUCCAGCGUGCUGGUCCUGCUCUGCCCUGGGAGGUGCUCCGGAACAGUCAGCACAGGAGACUUGCCACAGAGGCAAAAAUCCAAAUUUCCCCAGUCUCUGAACAAAACUUCUCUCCGCAGUUCCUGCAGUUCUUCCCAUUACAUUCGGUUUCUCAAGCAACUCUUGAGCCACUUCCCAAAAGAAACGCAAGGAUACACCAACUUCACUGGAAGACAAAUCCUCAUAUCCAGCUCCCCGGAGACCACCACCAGAACAUCAGCCCACCCAGCCAGGAGUCCCUGCCGCACUUCCCAAGGGCACAUCUCCCACCAUCACAAAUGAGAAAAACUGAAGCAGGUCCCAGUGUUUCUGCGAAUGUUGCCACCAAACUCCACCAGAGCAGAGAAUUUUCAACCAUGAUUAACAACAACCCAGUAGGUUACUGAGUGUCAGAAUGAGGACCUAGAGUCCAUCAGGUGGCGUCACCACACUACUCAUCUCAAAAUGCAACUGUUAGGAAACACCAGGCUCCUAUCCAGCAGCCACCCACUUAGUCCUCCCAAAGGAAGCUCGUGAAGUCAUGAGGGCGUGAGGUACGUGGUUUCGUAAUCCAUGAACAUUGACCCAGUCCUGGACGAACAAGCCGACACCCAAGCCUGAAUACUUCUGCUCUUUCUUUUAGUAGGGAGGGACUUGGUGACAUAGCAGGGAACUUGGAGGACCCAUGGCCGUCCCAAGAACACAGCUCCCGGCAUAGGGUCUCUGGGUCACGUCAGAAGUACAGAGUGCUGCUUGGCCCAGCAACGCAGCAGAAGGGCCCCAAAGAGAUAGGACCAGAGUCAGAAGGAAGGUAAAAAGUUUCAAG